AUGCAUCUAUUACUGCAUUUGAGUCUGUUUAGGUCUCUGCCUGUGUUUAUACGUUUGUCUAUUUUUUUGCAUCUGUUGCUGUUUUUAGGUUCCUGUGUUUCCAUUUUGUGUGUAUAUUCCUGCAUCUGUGGGUCUGCUUAUACAUCUGUGUCUGUGUUCAUAGGUCCGUGUGUGUCCCUUUGUGUUUGUGCACAUCCCUGUGGCUCCCCCCACCCUCCCCCAGGCCUCUCUUGGCAGCCCCUUGUCAACUCUCCUCUCCCCACAGCUGUGUCACCAAGGAUGUUUUCUCUGGGCCAGUGGGCUCUGGCCUUAAAGCUUGAUUUGGGGCCAAUUGCUGCAUUUCCUGUGGGGACUGUGUCAGCCCUGUUCUCUGCCCUGCAUGGUCCUUCUGUUGCAGGCAAUGAGGACACAGGGCCAGGGUGGUUGGGAUUGGUCAGAGAUUAAGUAGAAAGCAGAACACACAGCUGUCUUCCCUCCUUAGAGAACAGGCCAGCCCUGCACAGUGAUGCCAUAGCUGGGAGGGUUCACAAAGCUGUAAGGAUAGCAGUGAAGAAGGUCUAGUUCAAGUUCAGAAGCUGUCUGCUUGGUAAAAUGACUUUUAAAUUGUAAUUUUGUGAAUUAAAAAGCCUAUUUUUUUAAAUUUUAGAAUUCUUUGAAUUUGUCAAAUUGUAUUUUGGCUGCCCGAGGCUUAUGGAGUUCCUGGGCCAGGGAUCAGAUCUGAGCCACAGUUGAAAUCUAUAUUACAAUGCUGGAUCCUUAGCCCACUGUGCUGGCUGGGUGUCAAACCCACGUCCCAGGGCUCCAGAGAUGCCGCUGAUCCUGUUGCCCCACAGCAGGAACUCCUCUAUUCUUUUAUUUAAAAAAAAAAAAACUUUAGUAUUCCAUUGGAGUAUAGUGAAUUACAGUGCUGUGUUUCAGGUGUAUGGCAAAGGGUAUCAGUUGUACAUGUAUCAUUUUGAGAUUCUUGCCUCAUGUAGGUUAUUACGGGAUAUUGAAUAUAGUUUCUUAAGCUGUACGGGAGAGCCUUGAUGCUUACCGAGUUUACGUAUACUAGUGUGUAUAUUGUUGAUCCCAACAACUAAUUUAUUCCUCCCCCAGCAGUUCUCCUUUGGUAACCAUAAGUUCUCUGAGUCAGGCUUUUUCUACAUGAGUUCGUUGGUGUCAUAUAUGAGAUUCCACACAGCAGUGAGCUCAGCUGGUGUUUGCCUUUCCCUUUCUGACCUACAUCGCUUAGUAUGAUCACCUGUAUGUCCAUCCAUGUUGCUGCUGAUGGCAUCAUUAUAUCCUCCUUUAUGGCUGGGUAAUACUCCAUUGUGGGUAUGGAGCACAUCUUUUUUAUUCAUGCUCUGUCACUGGGCAUUUAGGUUGCUUCAAUGUCUUGUCUAUUGGGAAUAGUGCUGCUGUGAACGUAGGAGUGCAGGUAUCUUUUCCAAUUACGGCUUUUUCUGGACAGAUGCCCAGGAGUGGGAUUGAUGGAUCAUGUGGUCGUUCUAUUUUCAGUUCUCUUGAGUUUGUUCUUUAGUGCUGGGGGUUUUUUUUUUUUUUCCCGUCAGGGCCAUACCUGCAGGCUAUGUAAGUUCCCAGGCUAGGGUUCAAAUCAUCUGCAGCUGUGGUUCUGUGCCACAGCCCCAACCAUAUCCUUAACCCACUGAGCAAGGUCAGGGAGCAAACCCACAUCCUCAUGGGUCAUAGUCAGGUUCUUUAUCACUGAGUCACAAGAGGGAACCCCCCCUGUCUCAUUUUCUACAAGUUGUGUUUUGAAAUAGAAUUGACCUUCACCACUGUUUAUUGCCUGUUACACAGCAGAGCGACUCCCUAUUUCUACACACACCUGACCCAAGUUUUCCUUCAUGCCCUCUUACCUCCUAUUGGGUCUGAAAAUUUGCACAAGUCUGCAGAGCUGCAACGUACUGGCGAAUAUAUUCUCCCACUUUUCUUCCAUGUUUGCAGUAGAAGACACAGCACCGGGUUAGCCUCACGUGUCCAGCAUGGCCAUGUGACUUCCAUCGUGAGAUGAUGGCUAGAACAAUUUUACGGAAUGUCUAUUGCUUGGAGAAACCCAAAUCAAGACAGAAAAUUUUUUUUUCCUGUGAUGAGAACUCUUAAGGUUGACUUAGAAUAAACCUGCUCUACAGUGUCCGGCCGCGUAGGUU
rnacentral:lncRNA from 1 species